CCAAAUGGAUGUUUUAGGUGGUUUUAGACGGUUCCGUAUGGGUGAGGGACCUGGUAUGGACAAGAAAGGGUAACAUUUCCAACAAAUCUUAAAUGUAAAUAUUAUUAUGUCCAUAGAUUGAAGUUUCAGGUGGAGAGCAAGAUGAAAAAUAUGCAAAAUUACAUGCAUGCAACCCAUUUAUGCCAUUUUUCUCUUUGUUUGUAGGCCUGACCGUUUGUCCUUGAGCCGUAGAUGGUCAACAAUCCGCUAGCUGUCUUGCUCUGACUGGUGCACUGGACAUGAUUUCAAUAGUCAGCCAGACCAUGAUUGAGCUUAAGGAUUGUGCUGCGGAUGCAGCCUGUGCAGUUCCGGGAGAAAGUCACUGUCUCGGGCAAUGCGGUCUGGUAUCAGGUCUGGAUGAUCCUUGCCUGACUGCGGGUUUGUGUACACCUCAAUCCGACUCUGUGUCCUGAACAGAGGCCGCAGUGGUGCAGCGCUUCUGGACGAUCCAUCAACAUCCUGAAAGGUCAACACUACACCAAGCUGGGAAAAUUGAUCCUGAUAGUCAUCCCCAGGUAGUGGAAUGAAUGUUCACUGAACUACAGAGGAAUCACACCCAAAUGACUUUCCUGCCACGACAUUAGUGUGGCCACUCGCGUAGGAAUUCCUUAGCAAACAUGCUCUUUUGCAUGGUGACUGUGGACAUUUUUGCAAAACUUACGCUUUCAACACUGGAUUUUAAAGAGAAUACUUAAUAAAAUGUCGCUAACAGGACUUAUUUAUAUGAAAGAGACUAUCUGGAUGCGCAUUAAGUGUCACUUUGUGUCGUAAGCUGUUGAAGGAGCGAUUUGCGCCUUUUUAAGUGUUAAUUUUGGGUAGCCGGCUUGUAUCAGCUUGAAAGCUGAAAAUUAUGCCUCUCAUCAUAAUAGCAUUAAUUUUUGUAAUUGCAAUGUGUAUGUUUAGAUUGUAAGUGAAGCUUUUAAUAAUAAUUUUCUUAAAAAACAUGAUUUUAUAUGCUGUCAGUGAGUUUUUUAUUGAAAAAAGUGCUUAAAAUUAAAAAAAAGUCUCCUAUUUCAUCAAGAAAAGUACACUGAUUCACAAUCAAUACAUUUAU